rnacentral:rRNA from 1 species
AUUGAACGCUGGCGGCAGGCCUAACACAUGCAAGUCGAACGGUAACAGAAAGCAGCUUGCUGCUUUGCUGACGAGUGGCGGACGGGUGAGUCAUGUCUGGGAAACUGCCUGCUGGAGGGGGAUAACUACUGGAAACGGUAGCUAAUACCGCAUAACGUCGCAAGCCCAAAGAGGGGGACCUUCGGGCCUCUUGCCAUCGGAUGUGCCCAGAUGGGAUUAGCUAGUAGGUGGGGUAACGGCUCACCUAGGCGACGAUCCCUAGCUGGUCUGAGAGGAUGACCAGCCACACUGGAACUGAGACACGGUCCAGACUCCUACGGGAGGCAGCAGUGGGGAAUAUUGCACAAUGGGCGCAAGCCUGAUGCAGCCAUGCCGCGUGUAUGAAGAAGGCCUUCGGGUUGUAAAGUACUUUCAGCGGGGAGGAAGGGAGUAAAGUUAAUACCUUUGCUCAUUGACGUUACCCGCAGAAGAAGCACCGGCUAACUCCGUG